CCAGUGACAAGGUUCUUCUACCUCUUUCUCCUGGAUGGGGUGGCACUGCUCCAAAUAGACCCAGUGCACAAUUUCCUAGACAUAGUUCCUGCUAGAAGGUGGCAGCCAUAGUUAGGAGGACCUUUGUGCAUCUUAAGGUUAAGCACUAGUUUUCCCCCGUUUCUUUGCUCACCCUUACUAAUGCCUCAUGACAUCUUACUUGGAUUACCGCAACACAGUCUACAUGGGGCUGCCCUUGCAAAGCAUUUAGAAGCUUCAACUGAUGCAAAAUAUGGCUGCACAGUUAAUAGUGUUAGACAUUCAGCAUAUGUAACAUCACUACUCCGUGAGCUGCAUUGGUUGCCAAUAUGGUUUGAGGUGCAAUUCAAAGUUCUGGUUGUCACUUUUUAAGCCCUUCAUAGCUUGGGAUGACCUUACCUGAGCGACCAUCUUCUCCCAGCUGUUUCUAUCCAACCAAUUCAAUCCAGUAUGUUGGGCAUAUUAUGGAUCCCUUAGCCAAGGAAUGUCAGCUGGUAAGUACUAAGAGAUGUUUUUCUGCUGUAGCCUCUGCCCUCUUUAACAUUCUCCCUCCAGAAAUUAGGAUAACCCCAACUCCACUGACCUCUCCUUAAGACCUUGAAGACCUGUGUGCCAUGGCCAGGGAUUCCAAGGGUGUGAAUGUCCUUGUUUCCUGCUAUAUUUAUAACUCUGUUGAUCAUAAUUUUUGGCUACCAGGCUUAUUUGCUUUUGUAUGAUAUUGUAAUUUUUAAUUGUUUUAUUAUUGUUUGCCAUCCACAAUCACUUGUCUAAAAUUGUAGCUAUAAUAAGUGAACAAAUAAGUGAUCUUAAUCCAAGUUAGCCUUUUGGAAGGCUUAAUACCUAGCCAUUUGGAUCAGAUAGUAGAUGAAUUCUGCUGGUGUGCUUUUCCCUAUUACCAGGGUUAUUGUUUAUGCCUGGGUACCAGGGAUCUUAUGUUGGUUUAUUAUUUUGUGUGAGAAAGUUUUUUGAGGCACAGAUGGCUAUUUCUACCAAUCAAAUAAAUAUUCAUCAGCAUCCUACUGUCAUGAUAGUUUCAAAUUGCAAGCAAAAGUGGGGGGGGAAAGGAGAUAGCCAAACAAAGGAGCCAGAAGAGAUUCUAAUAAGAAUUUCUACUUAUUUAAGAUAGUAAUUCAACACCUCUAGAACUACCAGACUUGAGCUGCAAAAACCAGAUAAGUGGAUAGCACAGUAUUUCUACAGUUUCUUUGCUUUUGUCUAACAAUUGGUCAGAUUUUUGGAGCUGAGAUCUAGUAGUCCAAAAUAUUCCCAAUUAAAAGCUAAAUUAAUAUUUCAUAGAGUAAUACCCUGCUUGGGAAUAAGUGCUAUAAAUAAAUUAUAUUAAAUCAAAAGUCUUUUGUCAUGAUAUUAUAUAACCUGAUACAUUUUAUUAAACACAUAUUAAUCAGUGAGAUGUUUUAAAGUCAGUAAAAUAAUUUUACAGAUGAAGAAACUGAAGCUAAGCAACUUAAAAAAGAGUUUGAGGACACAAUCCUGCAAAUAAGUCAGCCAACAGAAAUACUCCAGACAUACAUUACAGCAUAGUAACUGAAAUAUACUGACACAAUUACAAUUACUGUCAAUUACAAAUCAACCAUAGCUCAGCAGGCAGAACAAAAAAGGCCCAAAUAUGAAUGUAACAAUAUUCAACAACGAAAAAAUUUUCUCUUAAACAAUUGGCAGAAACACUUUUCCUUUACCAAAAAAAAAAACACCCCAUUUUUUUAAAAAAACCGAACAAUUUAGCAAUACCUUGUCGGAAAUCAAUCCAAAGUUACAACGAAAGCAUUCAAUCUAGCAACUGGAUAAAAGACAGGUUAAUGAAAUGCACUUAAGAACUGCACUUUGUUCACAAUGUAGACAAUGGAAUAGCAGAACCGAGUAUCAGAACUAAAGGUAGCAAGCUCUAUUUCGAAGUAGAACAAAUUAAAAAAAAUAGAUUGUAGCAGCUGUUUGGGACUACUUUUAAAUCAAAAUAGUAGCUGUCCAUAAAAUAUUUUGAAGUUUACCUAAGUUUGAAGGCAAAAUAAUGCCAAAACACUGUGUUUUGAAAUACAGUGAUAAAUAACAGGCUGGAUGCAGUCCAUUCAAGUUAAAUGGACGUAAGUUCAGUUGAAAUUAGUAAGACAAAUAAGUGAUUUGCCUCAGGUAUUUAAAUAGAAUUAGAUGCAACUAAGUCCCACCUUAGGCAUGAAAGCCAGAUGGGUUAGUCCUUCUCUCAGCCUGAACUAUCUGCGAGAAUUGUUAUUGUGGGGAAAAUAGGAAUAUGUAUGUUCACUGCUUUGAGUUUUUAUAAAACAGUAAAGGCAGGACAAAAUUCAGAUUUAAAAAAUCAACACAGUAUGAAAGAUUGUUCACGAACAGUAACUUUUUACUAUAGAAUUUGAUACAAUUGGGUUACUGGGAGAAAAGAGUAGGAUGUACUGUAAUGGAAAUAUGGGUGGAAGAUGUAAACAGAAAGGAGGAUUUGUGUAGUGUGCUUUCCUACCCAUUUGUCUGGUACCUCUGGAGCUAUAGUUAAGAAAAUGUUGAAAAAAAACAAGUUAUCCUUCUAUCACUUCCCCUCCACAUUAGACUCCAUGUCCUCUAGAAAUCAAAAUCUUAUUUCCUAAUCUGGAUGUUGUUACCUAGUAAGACCUCUAUUAGUCUUAAAAAAUAAUUUUUAAAUUAUCAGGUUAAAGUUUACCCAAUUUAAAGAAAUUAUAUUUGUGUUAGUUCAGAAUGUUGUGUCUGACAUUAAGCGGAAUCCAAGUUUUAUAUAAAGAAUGUGUGCAAAGGAAAAGCUCACAGGAAGAGCUGAAAGCAAAAUAUAAUUAGUAUCCUUCAAGUUACACAGGCACAUAUCAAAGCUACAAGUAUUAUCCCAAGAAAGAAGCACCACAAAUAUCAGCAUUUAUUCAUUUUUAACUUUUUAGAAAAAAUGACAAAAUACCUAAGCUCAAUAGUUUUAAUUUAUUAGCUUAGGCUUAAACAUUACACAUUUUUGUUAAAAUAAGCUAAGUUGCCAGCAAUCAUGCAAAAACUAAAAAAAAAAAAAAACAUCCUUAAUUUGUUUAAACCAGAAAUGCACCAUCAGUAACAUGUUAACAUUAUUCACUAUAAAUGCUAAAUGCUUGAAAUUAAAUUUGCCUCAGAAAUGUUAACUUCACAGUAGAGUAUUAAUUGGCUCACAUGUCAACACCUAAAAACAAAAAAUAGCAAAAAGCAAGGUUCAUGCUAAUAUUAUCGUACAAUUCAAAUCCCUAACAAUAGCGUAAAGGCUUACCUAAAAUCAUGUUUAAUAUAAAGCAAAGUGCGUACAGAAAUUUACAACAAUUUUUAAAAUGGUCCUAAUCAUGUGGUCCCAGAAAUUAAAACGCAUAAAAUCUGACAUACGAGCUCUGAUGAGCCAUUUUAAAAUACUUUAGAUUACGUAUAGUAUAAUGAGAGUUCGUCUGAAAUCUUCAAAAAAUGUUCCUGUUAAU